rnacentral:antisense_RNA from 1 species
AUCAUGUGUAUCAAAAACGAGUAUACCAUGUACGAUAUGAAUCAAAACUCUAUCUAUACACAAUGUAAAUUUUAAGUGAUAAAAAGCAAAGAACCCCAAACCAAAUGAAAAAUUAAAGGAAUCAUAAAAGAGGAGAAGCUUCUUGCUUCAUGUGACAGAAAAAAAAAAUUUGAAAGAAAAAAUUGAAAAGCUUCCAUUUCUGUAAUAUAUGGAAAAUUCGUGGCUUAAUUAAUAAAUUAUAAAAGAUUCUCAGCUGUUGUAACCUUCUAUGAGACAGAGAAGUUUCUCUCCGACGUUUCUCUUCCUUUAUUCCGGCAAUGUCUGGAAUAAGAAGUGAAAAUCAGAUCGCUGGCGGAGAAGCGGCGAUGGAUCGACGUCGGAGAGGCUAAUGUUACCGCCGUGGAAGGAUUGCGAAACAUCUUCCACUGAGAAAGGAAUGCUGAAACAUGCAUUGAGAGUAAUUAGGGAGAGAAACUGAGAAGAAAGCGAGAAUUUUGUUUUUUGCGUACCUUGAAUCGACGUCUAGCAAGAAAGAAGGAUAUGGUUCGAUGCUAUACCAGAAACAUCACUGCUUGCCUUAUGUGUUGAAGUUCAUCCCAUGGUGAUCGUGUUGCCUGUAGGAGACAAAAAAGAACAGAAUUAUGUAUUCUCCAUUGCUAACUGAACAACACUCUCGGCGAAGCAACAAACUGCCAGAAGAUAAACUUUACAAGUCAAGCUACGUCAUAACCAAACAUAGAUGGGACCUGGAGAUCAUUAAGGCUCAGUCAAGAAACAGGAAAAGACAAAUUUAAGCUUGAGCUGGAAAUCUUCGAAAGUGCAUUGUUUUACAUGGUUCUCUGCCAUAAAAGUCAAGACGCAAAAACUCUUGCAGGAGGCAUUGUCUUUUCUGCAGACUCUGUCUGUCUUCGAAGAGUUUCAUUUUCUGACUCUAGAAUUGCAACCUUAUCCUUCAGGCUGAUAAGAGCUAUGCCUGAUAGAAGAAAAAGAAUCUACUAGGCUGAGAAAACUGCUCAGCUCACAGGACCGUACCUGUUUAACUCUCCAAUCUCUUCAACGCUUGUUGAAGCGGCCAAAGCCUGCUGACGCAAAACCUGAUUUUCGGAUUCAAGGUUUGACAG